ACCUUCAAUUUUAUGAACGACAUUAUGGUGUAUUUAGAUUUCUUAACACCACACUUUUUCAUAAACUGUUCUAGUCUUGUACGUUUUCUAUUUUUGCUGUUGCAUCAUAGAAUUUGACUUAUUUUUACUUUUUUGCUAAAAAUGUUUAAGUGUUUGAAAGGGCUAUAUCCAGACAUUAAAGGUUGCAUAAUAUUUUGUAAAUUAAACUGACGUUUAAAGAAAGAAAAAAAAAUGUGCAGAUAAGUCUGCCUUCAUGAAAAUUUGGACUGUUCUUAAUAAAGACAGCACUCUUCAGGUGAUUGCUUGAUUCAAAAUGUUCUUGCAAUGUCACUUUUGUCGGCCAUCUUUGGAAUCUUACGUCUGCAAUGUAUGUGUCAACGCAACGUUCUAGCAUGGAGCUAUAAAACACAGUAAUAGCUCCAUGGUUAUAGUCAACAGUAUACAUGUACAUGUAGUGAUGUUCAUUAGCGCGCAUUAUCAUUCUGAACUUCAAACAAGCAUUUGCAGUACUGAUAACUUAACUUCGAUAGCGCUACCAUGAGUUGAAGAUUGAAAAGGUCUUGGGAUACAAACCAAUAAUGCACCAUUUACUCCAGUUUAAUCUUGUGCAUCAUGUGUUUUUAGAACUAAAGUUUCUUGGUAUAAAGCGUUAAGAAAAUAAAAUUGAAAGAAUCAAUGAACAGCAUAUGCUAGUCUGUGUUAAUAAACAUUCAAUGAGGAAGGGGGUUUCCCCAUGCCAUAAAUCAUGCUAUUCAAUUAUUAUUACACAAGAUAUGUUCUUUAUAUGGGCAGGUUUUCUGGCAUGAAUCUUCAAGUACAUUUGUUUGUAGGCUGUAAAAGGUACAAAGUUCUAACAACAAACAUCGGCUGAACUUUGAAUGCAUACGUGGACAAAGUUGUCCAGCGUGCAAAUCCACUGCACUAUUGAAUCAUAAUAGUAUUAACUUCAUAGAAAUCCUGUUGACAUUUUUUAUAGCAACUCUUUUCAGGGAAUGAUUUUCCUGGUAUCACAUCGCAAUUUGCUCCACAUGUUUGAAAGACUGCUAAUGCAUAAAGUCUUUUGUAUAGCAUAUUUUUACAUAGGACUGUACAUUACUUAGAUGAUAGCUUUUCUCUUAUGACCAAAAAUGCUAUUCAAAUUUGUAAAGCCAAAUUAUUCCCUGCUUUUUGUUCUAUCUUUCAAUUGACAUUGCCAAUACUUGUAUCAAGAGCUGUAAUGAAGAAACAUCAUUUUUAAAGCAUCAUCUUGAUAAUGUGAUUUAUUUUUUCAGAAGAAAUUUACUAUGUGAGAUAUUUAGCCAACUGUACAUUGUGCAAUUGAAUAUCGACAAAUGAAAUACUUUUGAAAUGAGAGCAAUAUCUUGACCAAGUUGUAUUAUGAUAUUGGUAUAUUUUAAUCAUGCUUGUUUAUAUCCUCAUAAUGACAGAUUCUGCAAUGUGUUAUUCAUAUAAAAAAGCUGAAAUACUUUGAAUAAUGAUUUUAAAAAAGAAUACAGAUACUUCCUUUUUUUAAAAAUACGAGAACAUCUCAUUUAUUUAUACAUCUCAUUUAUUCCAACUGUCUCAUUUUUUUUCUUCAAAAACAUCUGGGCUUUUUAUCAAUAGUUUUUUUUUUUACCAGUGCUUUGAAUUAGGGUGGGAGUUUCAAUAUUUUUAAAUACAUUUAAAUGAAAUAAACCAACUUUAUAAAGUACAUCAUUCUCUCUAACUCUCUUUCUUUGUUCCCCCCUCUUUGAAGUAUAUUUGUUUCAAACCUCAUAAUUUUUCACGUUUUAAAUAUAGAUUAUGGAGGACAUGCGGUAAUUUUAGAUCUCUCAAUCUUUUUCUACAGAUUUGUCUGAUAGCGGGUGUGGCCUGAUGUUUUGACUGAUCACCGACCAUCAUUUUGAAGGGAGGACGACGAUGGUAACGGAAGUACACCUUUGCCUGGGUGUGCACAUUUGUGUAGGAUGACAACUUCUAGUAUCAUGAAGCUUAUGAAUACAAUCAUCACAUGAGGAUUUGUAUCGCAGUAUCUGUGGUCUUCAAGAAGCCAGAGGAAUUCCAUCUAGGAUCAGUAUGAAGUAGCUACAAUGAAAGAGGACAUUUCUUCAUAUCAUCUACAUUCUGUCAACACAGAGGAUGUGUAUAAAGCUAUUUGCAGCGUUCAUGCUGCCUUGAAAAUAUGUCCCAGUAGAACCUCUUGUAGUAUUUACAUGGUCUUGUUAGCAUUAAUUCUUGUAUUGCAAAGGGGAGGGUGAUGUUGAAUUAUUCUAAUUUGCGAAUCCAGUAUCUACAUCAUCCAUGUAGGCAGUAUAUACCGUUAAACCUGUCUUGUCAACUACCGGUCUAUAGUGAAAAACCUUCCUUUGGGUGACCGUAAUAUACAGGUUUGGUAAUAUACAGGUUUGAAAAUACUUUUUGUCUUUACCAUGCUUUAGAAUUUACAACUACACUGUAGAUGGAUUCUCAACUGCACAAGUCAAAAUUUAUGCCUUCAUAUCUGACCUUUAUUGCAUACUUUAUUCUGAUAUUGUGAAAAGACCAUCAAAUCACAGGCAUUAGAUUAUCUCUAUGACCUUUUACCUUGUGAUCUGCAAAAUUUUAGAUCACCAUCACUCUAGUAUGCAUACAUGACCCAAGUUUGAAGUUGAUUUUAUCAAACAGUUCUUGAGUUAUUGCAAGAACAAGGCUUUCAAGUUAUACAAUGACCUCUGUGACCUUCAACCUUUGACCUCCACACCCCAUAACGAAUUAGGUCAUUGUCACUCCCAUAUGCAUACAUGAUCUAAAUAUAAAGUCAAUCUGUCAAACGCUUCUUGAACUGUCACGAGAGCGAAUUUUGCGGUGAAAUAAUUGACAAGACUAUUUGAAAUAUCCCUGGGAAUGUCGCUUACAACCCUGUAAGUGCUGCUUUCUUUUCUUUCGUCAGAAUACAGGGAUGAGAAAACGUUACAUGAUUCCAUUCGACAGAUUCCAGCUUUGCCAACUGCUUAUAAAGUAGUACUGAGUAUGUUGCAUUUUUAAUUUAGACGGUAUUCACAAUAAUGCUUUCCAAAUUGUUUAAUGGAAUCUGUUGACUCAUGAGACCUUUGUGGUUUAGCCAUAGUAAACCGAUCUAUUUUGGAAGAUAACAUUUACAAAUUGGUUAUUGUUGGUGUAACCCAUUCAAACAAAAUGUUGAUAAUCGUGUCCAUCGUGAUCUAUGAAUGGAUAUUCCAUGGUGAUAAAAAUUUUAUUAGAUAGAAAUUUGUGAUUCACUUUUGUGAGAAUAAAUUAGAAGAGAAUAAUCCAA